GUCGGAACACCAUUAGCGUCGGCAACCUCAAACUCCGGUGGCCUCCCAAUAACAAUAAUCUUUCAACAGCAGAGCUCCUGAGCUUGAGUGACAUCCACAAAAGGCGUUUACAAGUCUCACAAACGCCAUGAAUUCGAUCUCUUUGAAGACUUCUUCAGCUCAUAACUCGUGUCUUCGGUUUUGUCAUCAAGGUAAGGCCUCAGAUCAAUACUAAGCAUAGGAAAGAACUAAAGGCCAGAGAAUUAACCAAUCAUCACUUCGUCUUCUGCAGAUUGAGCUCCUAAGAGCUAAUACCACUACAUGAACACUAAGAUCUAG
rnacentral:lncRNA from 1 species